rnacentral:rRNA from 1 species
GGGAUAAAAAAGCUACUUUCGCAUGAAAGAAGUUUAAAAAAGGACGGCGUAAAGCUGUCGCUAAAGGAUGGACCUGCGAUGCAUUAGCUAGUUGGUAAGGUAACGGCUUACCAAGGCGAUGAUGCAUAGCCGAGUUGAGAGACUGAUCGGCCACAUUGGGACUGUGACACGGCCCAAACUCCUACGGGAGGCAGCAGUAGGGAAUCUUCCACAAUGGGCGCAAGUCUGAUGGAGCAACGCCGCGUGAGUGAAGAAGGUUUUCGGAUCGUAAAGCUCUGUUGUUGGUGAAGAAGGAUAGAGGUAGUAACUGGCCUUUAUUUGACGGUAAUCAACCAGAAAGUCACGGCUAACUACGUGCCAGCAGCCGCGGUAAAU